rnacentral:rRNA from 1 species
AACGAACGCUGGCGGCAUGCCUAACACAUGCAAGUCGAACGAAGGCUUCGGCCUUAGUGGCGCACGGGUGCGUAACGCGUGGGAAUCUGCCCUUGGGUUCGGAAUAACAGCGGGAAACUGCUGCUAAUACCGGAUGAUGACGUAAGUCCAAAGAUUUAUCGCCCAAGGAUGAGCCCGCGUAGGAUUAGCUAGUUGGUGGGGUAAAGGCCCACCAAGGCGACGAUCCUUAGCUGGUCUGAGAGGAUGAUCAGCCACACUGGGACUGAGACACGGCCCAGACUCCUACGGGAGGCAGCAGUGGGGAAUAUUGGACAAUGGGCGAAAGCCUGAUCCAGCACUGCCGCGUGAGUGAUGAAGGCCUUAGGGUUGUAAAGCUCUUUUACCCGGGAUGAUAAUGACAGUACCGGGAGAAUAAGCUCCGGCUAACUCCGUG